rnacentral:rRNA from 1 species
GACGAACGCUGGCGGCGUGCCUAAUACAUGCAAGUCGAACGGAGUGGCGAACGGGUGAGUAAUGUAUCGGAACGUGCCCAGUCGCGGGGGAUAACUACGCGAAAGCGUAGCUAAUACCGCAUACUUUUGGAGCGGCCGAUAGCGGAUUAGCUAGUUGGUGGGGUAACGGCUUACCAAGGCGACGAUCCGUAGCUGGUUUGAGAGGACGACCAGCCACACUGGGACUGAGACACGGCCCAGACUCCUACGGGAGGCAGCAGUGGGGAAUUUUGGGCAAUGGGCGAAAGCCUGACCCAGCCACCCCGCGUGGGCGAUGAAGGUCUUCGGGUUGUAAAGCACUUUUGGCAGGGAAGCGGUACCUGCAGAAUAAGCACCGGCUAACUACGUGCCAGCCGCCGCGGUAAUAC